UACAGAGGGGGCAAGCGUUGUUCGGAAUUACUGGGCGUAAAGGGCGCGUAGGUGGCCUGCUAAGUCGAACGUGAAAUCCCUGGGCUCAACCCCGGGAGGCGGGUGGAUACUGGCAAGCUUGAGUCCGGAAGAGGCGAGUGGAAUUCCUGGUGUAGCGGUGAAAUGCGCAGAUAUCAGGAGGAACACCGGUGGCGAAGGCGGGUCUCUGGGCCGAUACUGACGCUGAGGAGCGAAAGCGUGGGGAGCGAACAGG
rnacentral:rRNA from 1 species